rnacentral:misc_RNA from 1 species
ACUUCUCAACUCCUCACGGUUCGCCCGUGAUGAGCUUGGACUUUGGGGGUCUUGCUGGCCCGUGGGUCGGCUCCUCUCAAAUGAAUCAGCUUGCCGGUGUUUGGCGGCGUCACAGGUGUGAUAACUAUCUACGCUUGUGGUUUUCCGCCAGGUAACCUCCAGCAAACGGGGGUUCGCUGGAGCUCACAAACGUCUCUCCUCGGCGAGGACGCUCUUUGAAC